AAAAAAGGAAACCGUACUCUAUUUUACUACGGACUCCAACAAUCGACUCUUUAAUAAAUUUUCUGUAAUUGAAAAGAAACGUUCCUCACCAAAACCUACUGCUUCUUCUCCUCUUCUUUCCCUUUUCCAUUUAAUUGUUCCAUCUCAUUGUCUUUUUCCUGUUCGGAUGUUCUGAUUAUGUUUGCACACUUGAUUCUUUUGAUUUCAGGUAUAACGUGGCCUUUCUCUGUAAAAUUUGCUUUGGGGGAUUUCUUUAUUUCCAACUUUGUUUUUUCCCUUUGGGUUCUAACAAUUGCUCUCUACCAUCAAGCAUCUGUUCUCUCCUCAACAAUUAUGAGCAAAGCUAGUGGGUGUUUGGAUUGGCUUUUCAAAUCUGUCUACUUAGUUAAAUCGUUUUCGCGUUGAACUCCUCUUCCAAGUUUUGACAAUUUCUCUCUAUGAUCACGUCUCGAUUCUCUCCUCGACAAUUGUGAGCAAAGCUGAAUCUCACACACUUGUGCUUUCUGUUUUCAACAGGUCUUUGUAGAUUUGUUAAAUUAUUUUGGUGAAACGCUUUUAGUUAUGUGUUAUUAUCGGGUUGAAUAGUUCACUAUUUCCUUUUGGAUUCUAAUUAUUCAUAGUUUUGUAGUAGAGAUGUGGACGAGUGUAGAAUAAGGGCAAGAAAGGUCAUUAUUGAAACUUUUGAUGGUUCAUUUAUAUCGGAGCAUGUGCCAUGGAUUUGCUGCCAUUUCAUAAAGCUUGAUUGUAGAGGGCCUACAGCGACGUGACCAAGGACAAAACAAGGGCCUGUAACGGUACUCUAGAAACUCUAUUGGUUCAUUUAAACUUUAGGUCUUCAAUGAAAGACGUAAGAACUGCCGGACAAUGAAAUUUUGAUGUUCACAUAUUCACAAUCUGUGAGUUGGUUUAAUUUUCAUCUUAGAAUCAUUUUUUUAUAUUCUUCACUUGACGCAACGUUUAUAGAGUUUUUAUUAAGAAGCUUUUUGAGCUAGGAUUAUGAUCUUUGCUUUAUGUUAGAAUCUCAUAAUUCUACUAUUUAUACUUGCAUUCAUUGAAUAUAUAACUUAAAAUGAAAUCCUUAUUGCAGAUAUUGAUUCUUUCAGAAAUUUUCUAAAAGGUUUUUACUCUAAAGGUUUUUUUCCUUCACUUUCUUCCUUCUCUCUUUAGUAUUUUUGUUGAUUCUUUAUUUUAAUAGUUCCCUUCCAGAUUUUGAAUUUGUUUUUAGGAUGUGGAUAAUGGGAUCAAUCUCUUAUUCCUAAUACUUAUCCCUUUCAAAGUGUGAGGAAGAUAUCAGUGGAGUAUCGAUUAUGCAAAAUCAUUUGGCUCUUUGUUAUAUCUUCGUUGUUUUGCAACUUUCACCUUUGAUUGUGUUUUUCUUCUUGUGUGUUAGUACUAUAGCUAAU